UACGUAGGGAGCGAGCGUUGUCCGGAAUCAUUGGGCGUAAAGAGCAUGUAGGUGGAUCAAUUAGUCUGCUGUGAAAGUCAAAGGCUCAACCUUUGAAAGCCGGUGGAUACUGUUGAUCUAGAGUACGGAAGAGGCGAGUGGAAUUCCUGGUGUAGCGGUGGAAUGCGUAGAUAUCUGGAGGAACACCGGUGGCGAAGGCGGCGUCCUGGACCAACACUGACACUGAUGAGCGAAAGCCAGGGGAGCAGACGGG
rnacentral:rRNA from 1 species